CGCUGGGCGGCAGGCUUAACACAUGCAGGGAGUCGAACGGUAACAGGAAUUAGCUUGCUAAUUUGCUGACGAGUGGCGGACGGGUGAGUAAUGCUUGGGAAUCUGGGGGCUUAUGGAGGGGGAUAACUACGGGAAACUGUAGCUAAUACCGCGUAAAAUCUUCGGAUUAGCAAAGGGUGGGGGGACUUUCGAGCCACCUGCCAUAAGAUGAGCCCAAGUGGGAUUAGGUAGUUGGUUAGGUAAAGGCUGACCAAGCCGACGAUCUCUAGCUGGUCUGAGAGGAUGACCAGCCACACUGGAACUGAGACACGGUCCAGACUCCUGGGACGGGAGGCAGCAGCGGGGAAUAUUGCACAAUGGGGGGAACCCUGAUGCCAAAGCCAUGCCGCGUGAAUGAAGAGGGAGGCCUUCGGGUUGUAAAGUUCUUUCGGUGACGAGGAAGGUUGAUAGGAGCAUGUGGUUAAUAGCCUAUCAAAUUGACGUGGGUAAUCACAGAAGAAGCACCGGCUAACUCCGUGCCAGCAGCCGCGGUAAUACGGGGGGUGCGAGCGUUAAUCGGGGGAAUAACUGGGCGUAAAGGGCACGCAGGCGGUGACUUAAGUGAGCGGUGAUGUGAAAGCCCCGAGCUUAACUUGGGGGGAAUUGCAUUCCAUACUGGGUCGCUAGAGUACUUUAGGGAGGGGUAGAAUUCCACGUGUAGCGGUGAAAUGGGGCGUAGAGAUGUGGAGGAAUACCGAAGGCCCCGAAGGCAGCCCCUUGGGAAUGUACUGACGCUCAUGUGCGAAAGGGGCGUGGGGAGCAAACAGGAUUAGAUACCCUGGUAGUCCACGCUGUAAACGAUGUCGAUUUGGGGAUUGGGCUGGGUUGAGCUUGGUGCCCGUAGCUAACGUGAUAAAUCGACCGCCUGGGGAGUACGGCCGCAAGGUUAAAACUCAGGGAAUG
rnacentral:rRNA from 1 species